CUUCCAUUGUCAAGUCGAGGGACCUCUAGGGUCGUUUAAGUAAGCUGAUUUUCGUUUCCCCAGCAUAGCAAAUAGCAAUAGAAGCAAGACGGGAAGUUGAAAUGACAAUGGUGGUAACGCUUCUUCCCUGUCGCUUUAUAAAGUGCUUUUCAAUUUCAUGUUCAUGUUCAUCUUCUACUGCCAGUACCCUCCAUGAAAUUGCUUCAGCUUCUCCUCAAGGAGUUGCAAAGGUUGUAUUAAAGAAAGGAAAGACUCAACUCUUCAGGUAUGGAAGUCCUAUGGUUUAUAGUGGAGCAGUUGAUAGAAUAAUAGGUAGACCACCUCCUAAGACAGGUGAAGUUGUUUUGGUAGCUGACGGAACCGAAAAACCAAUAGGGUGGGGCUUAUACAAUUCUGCUUCUAUGUUUUGUGUUCGUCUAAUGCAGCUCGAGGAGGAAGCAGUAAGGGAUCCUGCAUGUGCAUUGAACAUGGAGAGACUGUUAGAGAGCAGAAUUAACGCAGCAGCAGAUUUACGAAGAAUUUUAGGGCUCCCUUGUUCAAAUACAAAUGCAUACCGUCUUGUCAAUAGUGAAGGAGAUAGGUUGUCCGGACUAAUUGUUGAUGUAUUUGGUGAUGUAGCUGUUGUCGCAUCUUCUGCGGCAUGGGUUGAGAAAUACAAGCCAGAAAUAGAGGCUUGUAUAAAGAAAGUUGAUGGAAUCAGUAAUAUAAAUUGGAGACCUUCAAUGGACAUGCUGAAAGAAGAGGGUUUGGACCUUUUACAAUUAAAGCAUACACCUGUUGCUCCUUUCGAACAAGUUGAGGUCAAGGAAAACGGUAUUAGAUAUGCUGUUUCUCUUGAGGGACAAAAAACAGGAUUCUAUGCUGAUCAGCGUGAAAACCGUGAGUUCAUUUCAACAAUUGCAAAGGGUAUGAGGGUUCUCGAUGUAUGCUGCUAUAGUGGUGGAUUUUCUCUUAAUGCAGCUUUUGGUGGUGCUGUCUCAGUGACCGGUAUUGAUUCAUCUCUGCCUGCUCUAGAGCUUGCAAAACAUAAUGUUACUAUCAAUGGCCUAAAUGCUGAGGCAAUAUCCUUCUUAAAGCAAGAUGCAACCAAUUUUAUGAAGAAUGCUGCUGCUCGAAAUGACACUUGGGAUAUUGUCAUCUUGGAUCCUCCUAAAUUGGCUCCUCGCAAGCAGGCUCUACAAAAUGCGUCUGGAAUGUACAGAAAUUUAAAUUCGCUAGCUAUGAGAUUGACAAAGAAGGGUGGUAUCCUAAUGACUUGCUCUUGUUCUGGUGCUAUGACACAAAGUGGGACGUUCUUGCGUGUAAUCCAGGGUGCAGCAGCAAUGGCAGGCAGAAGAGUGACUGUUUUACGGCAAGCUGGAGCUGCUUGUGAUCAUCCAAUUGAUCCGUCUUACCCUGAAGGCGCUUAUCUUUCCAACAUCAUGCUCAGAGUAUUAUAGACUGCAAUUAUUCCACCAGAAAGUUGAUGAUUGAAGAAAUUUCACCAACUUGGCAUGUCUAUGGCUCAUAACUAAGACUUGAAGAGCUUCAUCAAACCCUCACUCCUAAUUUGACAUUCAAACCAUAGUUUGUAUUCAAGGUACUUAACACCUUCAGAAGCUAAAAUCAUCUUCAAAUCAUUUUUGCCGGCCAUAGCAAUCAGCAGUGUAAAACUACCUUCUGGAUUUAUCACUAAAAAGCAGCAAAGGUUAUGUCAAUGUGCUCGU